GUUCAUUUUGGACAGCCCAUCAGGCGCUAGUGGGCCAAGGAUGCACCGGCCUGUUGUCCUUCCACUGCAGUGAGGAGGAGGUUUUCGCUGCUCUGUAAAGCCAGCCUCACGCAUUGCCCUCCAAUCUAAGAGCCAUGAAGCCUCCGCCUACGCAGAGAAUCCACAGCACAACUCACCACUUGGAACGGGCAAGCCAGUAGAGAGCAACCCAAGCCCAGCCUUCAGGGCAAGUCCAACUGUUCCACCAUAAAGCUCCCACUUGGGUGACAGGCUCGCGCUACCAAGCCCAGCGAUCAGCCCUCCUAGCUAGGCGCUUAUUAAGAGAAAAUAUUUGUCAUCUGAUUUCGAUGUGGGAAAUUGAGCGAGGACAUGCUUAGCUUUCAUAGCAAAAAAAAAUGGAGCAGAGAGCUGUGUGCAUGGUUUUUGCGUUGAAUCAUUGUUCACCAUAAAGUUAGAAAUGAAUUGAAGUUGCAGCGGCGGUUCGUAUAGACUGGUUGUGGUCGGGAAAUGGUGAAGGAACUCAGUAACGGAGCUUCGGUUUAUGAAGUUCUUGAGCUUUGGCUUGUAGCUGCAGAAGCUGCUCAAAGGUUGAGGCUACGUCUUAUCUCCAGAGAUGAUGAAAUUGAGGAGUGGAGUGUACUCUGAAGAAGUUGGUGCAGCAUAGAUGCUUCAGACCCUUCAAUUGGAGGACAUGGCAGAAUACCAGAUAUUACGUUCACGUGAGAUCAAAAAUCAUUUAGAUGCUAAAUGUGAAAAGGUAGCAGAUGUUGUUGCUAUGGAUGACAUUGGUCUGUCAGUAUUGCAACCUUUCUUCCGUUCAUCGUAUAUUUUUUGAGUUCAUUUUGCAGAAAUUGGAAAAUAUGCUUUGGACUCUUCAGCAAUUAUAGUUUACUAAUGUUCUACUCAACUCCCAAUUAUUAGUUGUGUUUUAUGUGCACUUGGCAUAUGCUUUAAGUACAUCUGAUUCCCCUCUGAUCUUUAACCCUUCCAAGACUGAAAUAUAAAUGAAGUUUAUCUGACAAUAUGACAAACCCAGAACAAUUUUUCUAUGAUGGCAGAAAAUUUUUAUAUGUUAGGUAUUACUGAAAGAAAACUUGGAUAUGAUUUAUGAAUAUAGAUCAUGACUAAUUUUAUAAUCAACUCUAGUUUAUGGAUUAUUUACUUAAAUAAUCUAAAUGGGGUAUUAUACAAUCCAUAAUGUUUGAUUGUGGCCUUGAUCAAUAAUAACAUAACUUGGCUGUGUUGCAAGGGGUUUAUUGGGAUUGGGCUGUGUUGCUAACUGGCCCCAAAAGAAAAAGAUAGUGGUUCAAUUUGGACAGCCCAUCAGGCACUAGUGGCACUGGCCCGUUAUCCUUCCACUGCGGAGAGGAGGAGGUUAUCGCUGCUCUGUGAAGCCAGCCUCACGCGGUGCCCUCCAAUCUAAGGGCAGAGACACCUCCACCUUCAAAGAGACUCCACCGCCCAACUCACCACUUGGAACAGGCGGGCCAGUUGAUAGCAACCCAAGCCCAGCCCAAUUGUUCCACCAUCUUAAUGCUCCCACUUGGGUCACAAGCUCACGCUACCAAGCCCAGCAAUCAAUUCUUCUAGCUAGGGAAUUAUUAAGAGAAAAUAUUUCUCAUCUGGUUUCGAUGUGGGAAAUUGUGCAAGGGCUUGUCUGGCUUUCAUGGGGAAAAACUGGAGCAGACAACUAUCAUGUACUCACUUAUGGUUCUUGACAGCUAUGAAAGCUUUAAUUUGCUUCACUGAAUGGAAUGACAGAGAUGAUUAGGUUCUGCUGGCAGCGUCCAAUCACACCCUAUAAGCUUUGCUUCAUUUUCAUUUCCAUCUCACAUUAUAUAUUUUCAUAUGUUUUUAUUAUUUAGUUUAAUUGUACUUUGCUGAAGUUUUAGAAAUGAAUUGAAGUUGCAAGGGCGGUUUGCAUAGAUUUGGUUGUGGUAGGAAAAUGGUGAAGGGGUUCAGUAACGGAGCAACUAGAGCGUCACUGCUUAGGCCCUGAUGGUUCUCUCCUCUCCAAAUCCACUAGAGCAACUAUGAUCUCCAACUUGUACUCUCUCCAUCUAUAAUUUGUAUUUUAUAUGAAAUGUGCUCGAUUAUAUAUUGAUGCAGGCUUGGGAGGAAAUGAUGAAAGAGGGGCAGCAUUAUUUUGAAGCCUUGGUUUUGGAGCAGAUACUUGGAGCGGUUAUCAAGCUUGUCAAAGAUAUAAAGUUGGAACAUCAGAAUAAAUAUGGGAGAAAAGAGAGAAGAGAACAGAGGGGAAUGAGCAAGAGAAAUGCAGCGAUUGAAUUGAAGAAGUUGGAAAUAAUGAAAGGUCAGACGACGUUGCUUGAACAAAGCGUUAAUUUUGGCGCCUCCUCUUCCAAAAUAAAAUAUGAGACACUUGUUAUGUGGGAAUGGCAACGACCCCUGUUAGUGAAGAUAAACGUAGAUAGAGUACGUGGGGUCAACCCGGUAUUGCAGCCUCGUGUGGUAUAAUUAAAAAUGACAAAGGUUCGUGGGAAUUGCUACAAGCAUCCUAACUAAGCUCAUGGCAAUAUACUACAGGUGAGGGAGGCAUAUUUGUCAUCCGAGAACGAUGUGGGAAUUGUCAUGUUUGUAUAUGUUUUGUGAUGGCGAUGAUUAUUCAAUAGAUCAAUCAAGUGGUAAUCAAAUUAUCAAAUGCCAAAAAUUGGAGGAAUGGAGAGCGUUUACACAUGUGGAGAAUUGAGUUUAAUACAAGUUUUUUAUUUUUCAAUUUUCUAAUUCUCUAAUGAAAUUUUGAUCAAUUCUCCACUUGCUAAACAUUCCGGUAGCUUUUUGGAUGGCUCCGUUCAGCUGUAUCAUUAGUAGGAGUACCGGCACUAACAUGCAUGAAGAGGGCUUAGCAGCAAGAACUGAGUUGUUUGAAGGAGACAAAACAAUAUAGACGAAUUUGAAAAAAAA